rfam:Zymoseptoria brevis strain Zb18110 contig4208, whole genome shotgun sequence.
UUCACCGGUACUCAAUGAUGAGUUACAUCUACCCAUAAUACUUCAGGAAGAGCCGGAAGAGGUACGGCCUGUAUCGACACAUACGGGCCGUCGAUGCUUAGAAACGGGAGUCUGAAAUUGAUCUUCUU